rnacentral:rRNA from 1 species
UUGGAGGGCAAGUCUGGUGCCAGCAGCCGCGGUAAUUCCAGCUCCAAUAGCGUAUAUUAAAGUUGUUGCAGUUAAAAAGCUCGUAGUUGAAUUUCGGGGUUCUACCGUUGGUCGGGCUUUGUCUGUACUGGCGUGUAGAAUUUCUACCUUCUGGGGAACCAUCAUGUUAUUAAUUUAACGUGGUGGGAAACCAGGACCUUUACCUUGAAAAAAUUAGAGUGUUCAAAGCAGGCUUAUGUCUGAAUACAUUAGCAUGGAAUAAUAGAAUAGGACGGUGGUCCUGUUUUGUUGGUUUCUGAAUCACCGUAAUGAUUAAUAGGGAUAGUUGGGGGCAUUAGUAUUCAAUUGUCAGAGGUGAAAUUCUUGGAUUUAUUGAAGACUAACUUCUGCGAAAGCAUUUGCCAAGGAUGUUUUCAUUAAUCAAGAACGAAAGUUAGGGGAUCGAAGACGAUCAGAUACCGUCGUAGUCUUAACCAUAAACUAUGCCGACUAGGGAUCGGACGAUGUUAAUUUUUCUUGACUCGUUCGGCGCCUUACGGGAAAC